GGGUUGUGAGGUUAAGCGACUAAGCGUACACGGUGGAUGCCCUGGCAGUCAGAGGCGAUGAAGGACGUGCUAAUCUGCGAUAAGCGUCGGUAAGGUGAUAUGAACCGUUAUAACCGGCGAUUUCCGAAUGGGGAAACCCAGUGUGUUUCGACACACUAUCAUUAACUGAAUCCAUAGGUUAAUGAGGCGAACCGGGGGAACUGAAACAUCUAAGUACCCCGAGGAAAAGAAAUCAACCGAGAUUCCCCCAGUAGCGGCGAGCGAACGGGGAGGAGCCCAGAGCCUGAAUCAGUGUGUGUGUUAGUGGAAGCGUCUGGAAAGGCGCGCGAUACAGGGUGACAGCCCCGUACACAAAAAUGCACAUGCUGUGAGCUCGAUGAGUAGGGCGGGACACGUGGUAUCCUGUCUGAAUAUGGGGGGACCAUCCUCCAAGGCUAAAUACUCCUGACUGACCGAUAGUGAACCAGUACCGUGAGGGAAAGGCGAAAAGAACCCCGGCGAGGGGAGUGAAAAAGAACCUGAAACCGUGUACGUACAAGCAGUGGGAGCAUGCUUAGGCGUGUGACUGCGUACCUUUUGUAUAAUGGGUCAGCGACUUAUAUUCUGUAGCAAGGUUAACCGAAUAGGGGAGCCGAAGGGAAACCGAGUCUUAACUGGGCGUUAAGUUGCAGGGUAUAGACCCGAAACCCGGUGAUCUAGCCAUGGGCAGGUUGAAGGUUGGGUAACACUAACUGGAGGACCGAACCGACUAAUGUUGAAAAAUUAGCGGAUGACUUGUGGCUGGGGGUGAAAGGCCAAUCAAACCGGGAGAUAGCUGGUUCUCCCCGAAAGCUAUUUAGGUAGCGCCUCGUGAACUCAUCUCCGGGGGUAGAGCACUGUUUCGGCAAGGGGGUCAUCCCGACUUACCAACCCGAUGCAAACUGCGAAUACCGGAGAAUGUUAUCACGGGAGACACACGGCGGGUGCUAACGUCCGUCGUGAAGAGGGAAACAACCCAGACCGCCAGCUAAGGUCCCAAAGUCAUGGUUAAGUGGGAAACGAUGUGGGAAGGCCCAGACAGCCAGGAUGUUGGCUUAGAAGCAGCCAUCAUUUAAAGAAAGCGUAAUAGCUCACUGGUCGAGUCGGCCUGCGCGGAAGAUGUAACGGGGCUAAACCAUGCACCGAAGCUGCGGCAGCGACGCUUAUGCGUUGUUGGGUAGGGGAGCGUUCUGUAAGCCUGUGAAGGUGUACUGUGAGGUAUGCUGGAGGUAUCAGAAGUGCGAAUGCUGACAUAAGUAACGAUAAAGCGGGUGAAAAGCCCGCUCGCCGGAAGACCAAGGGUUCCUGUCCAACGUUAAUCGGGGCAGGGUGAGUCGACCCCUAAGGCGAGGCCGAAAGGCGUAGUCGAUGGGAAACAGGUUAAUAUUCCUGUACUUGGUGUUACUGCGAAGGGGGGACGGAGAAGGCUAUGUUGGCCGGGCGACGGUUGUCCCGGUUUAAGCGUGUAGGCUGGUUUUCUAGGCAAAUCCGGAAAAUCAAGGCUGAGGCGUGAUGACGAGGCACUACGGUGCUGAAGCAACAAAUGCCCUGCUUCCAGGAAAAGCCUCUAAGCAUCAGGUAACAUCAAAUCGUACCCCAAACCGACACAGGUGGUCAGGUAGAGAAUACCAAGGCGCUUGAGAGAACUCGGGUGAAGGAACUAGGCAAAAUGGUGCCGUAACUUCGGGAGAAGGCACGCUGAUAUGUAGGUGAAGCGACUUGCUCGUGGAGCUGAAAUCAGUCGAAGAUACCAGCUGGCUGCAACUGUUUAUUAAAAACACAGCACUGUGCAAACACGAAAGUGGACGUAUACGGUGUGACGCCUGCCCGGUGCCGGAAGGUUAAUUGAUGGGGUUAGCGCAAGCGAAGCUCUUGAUCGAAGCCCCGGUAAACGGCGGCCGUAACUAUAAC
rnacentral:rRNA from 1 species